rnacentral:rRNA from 1 species
AGUGAACGCUGGCGGUAGGCCUAACACAUGCAAGUCGAACGGAAGCACAGUAAGAGCUUGCUCCUACGGGUGGCGGGUGGCGGACGGGUGAGGAAUACAUCGGAAUCUACUUUUUCGUGGGGGAUAACGUAGGGAAACUUACGAUAAUACCGCAUACGACCUACGGGUGAAAGCAGGAGAUCUUCGGACCUUGCGCGAUUGUAUGAGCCGAUGUCGGAUUAGCUAGUUGGCGGGGUAAGGGCACACCAAGGCGACGAGCCGUAGCUGGUCUGAGGGGAUGAUCAGCCACACGGGACCUAGGACACGGCCCAGACCCCAACGGGAGGCAGAGGAGGGAAAUAUUGGACAAGGGGCGCAAGCCGGAUCCAGCCAUACCGGGUGGUUGAAGAAGGCCUUCGGGUUGAAAAGCCCUUUUGUAGGGAAAGAAAAGCAGCAGGUUAAUACCCCGCUUUUCUGACGGUACCCAAAAAAUAGGCACCGGCUAACUUCGU